rnacentral:rRNA from 1 species
UGCCAGCAGCCGCGGUAAUACGAAGGGGGCUAGCGUUGUUCGGAAUUACUGGGCGUAAAGCGCGCGUAGGCGGAUUAUUAAGUCAGAUGUGAAAUCCCGAGGCUCAACCUCGGAACUGCAUUUGAAACUGAUAAUCUAGAGACCAGGAGAGGUUAGCGGAAUACCGAGUGUAGAGGUGAAAUUCGUAGAUAUUCGGUGGAACACCAGUGGCGAAGGCGGCUAACUGGACUGGUACUGACGCUGAGGUGCGAAAGCGUGGGGAGCAAACAGGAUUAGAUA